rnacentral:lncRNA from 1 species
CAGCGACUUAUGCUCGAUAGAAACUAUCAUCCUUAUUAACAGCCUAUCAUUUGGUCAUGAACAGUUUUAAGGACUAAUCGUUAAAUUCUCUCUUUAUCGAAUCUAAAUAGUCCUAAGGAUUUCAUCAUAACAAUAGAGUUCAUUAGAAGAUGAAUGCUUAUGAUGAAAGUGCCAAAUAUAUUUUAUUUAUUAACAAAUCAAUUACCAUACUUGGUUGCUCAACCGUCAACAGCUUAACGAUUGGCUUUUGGGAUAUAUUUUUCAACAAUUAUAAUCUUAAAAUAAUAAUUAGAUGCAGCAUAUAAUAAAU